GACGAACGCUGGCGGCGUGCUUAACACAUGCAAGUCGAACGAAGUGGCGAACGGGUGAGUAACGCGUAAUCAACCUGCCCUUCAGAGGGGGACAACAGUUGGAAACGACUGCUAAUACCGCAUACUGACGGUGGGUUUUGCGUUUGAUUAGCUAGUUGGAGGGGCAACGGCCCACCAAGGCGAUGACCAGUAGCCGGUCUGGAAGGGUGAACCGCCAAAUUGGGACUGAGAAACGGCCCAAACUCCUACGGGAGGCAGCAGUGGGGAAUCUUCCGCAAUGGACGAAAGUCUGGCGGAGCAACGCCGCGUGGGUGAUGACGGCCUUCGGGUUGUAAAGCUCUGUUAAUCGGGACGCGGUACCGGAAUAGAAAGCCACGGCUAACUACGUGCCAGCCGCCGCGGUAAUAC
rnacentral:rRNA from 1 species